AAUAGAUACCCAGGUAGUCCACGCCGUAAACGAUGAGUGCUAAGUGUUGGGGGUUUCCGCCCCUCAGUGCUGCAGCUAACGCAUUAAGCACUCCGCCUGGGGAGUACGGUCGCAAGACUGAAACUCAAAGGAAUUGACGGGGGCCCGCACAAGCGGUGGAGCAUGUGGUUUAAUUCGAAGCAACGCGAAGAACCUUACCAGGUCUUGACAUCCCGGUGACCACUAUGGAGACAUAGUUUCCCCUUCGGGGGCAACGGUGACAGGUGGUGCAUGGUUGCCGUCAGCUCGUGUCGUGAGAUGUUGGGUUAAGUCCCGCAACGAGCGCAACCCUUAUUCUUAGUUGCCAUCAUUUAGUUGGGCACUCUAAGGAGACUGCCGGUGAUAAACCGGAGGAAGGUGGGGAUGACGUCAAAUCAUCAUGCCCCUUAUGACCUGGGCUACACACGUGCUACAAUGGACGGUACAAACGGUUGCCAACCCGCGAGGGGGAGCUAAUCCGAUAAAACCGUUCUCAGUUCGGAUUGUAGGCUGCAACUCGCCUACAUGAACG
rnacentral:rRNA from 1 species